GGCCCGUGACCGCGGGAGCGCGACCCGCUUGAGACAGGCGGUGGGGGCCGUAGGCAGCCGGCCUAGGCCGCGCCUGGGCCCUGCUGCCCGCGGCGAUGGCGGCCGCGGCCGUGAGCGGGGCGAGAGGCCGUGGCAGGCCGAGGGCCCCGGCAUCCGCCCUUGAGCGCUGGCGGAGAGGCGCAGGGCUUUCGGCUGCGUCCCCGGCACCGUCCCCGCGGGUGCGCUGUGAGGCAGGGGCUCUGCCCGGAGAGGCGGAGCGCCGAACCCUCAGCGGAACCCCCCCAGGGCAACGCGCCCUGCCGUGGCAACUAACAGCAGGGAAAGGGGGAACCAGCUACCCCAAAUACUACGCGGGCUUGGUUGUCUCCUCGCGUCCAGAACGAAGUUGUCGCGGCCUGAGGUGGAGUAAGAUAGGUGUCCGCCUCAGUCUGCCGAGAAUGAUGAUACCUUACUAGUUGCCACGAUGACUGACAGGCUAUUAAUUUAGGAUUAACUCAGAACUUGAGUUAAGUAAGAGCAGCCUGUGGGGACAGCAUGUGAGAAGAGUCACAGGAAGAAAGGAAAAGACUGGAUUCGUUAGCAGCAGGCUGCAGGGGAAUGUAGUAAGAAGCAAGACUAUAGCCAUAGGUUGGAAAGCACAGGCUUAGGAACGGAGAUGAAAUGUUUAAGGUAAGUCUGACUUUAAAGUUAUUAAGGUUAACGAACUCCCCAAAUCUUCAGUGGGAUCAUCUGAAGAAAGGAAUAAGCAGGUUCGAAUGUUGGGAUUAAAGAAAGCCCUGUUACAAAGUGAGAAAGGUGAGUUUCAGUGCUGUGGUUUGAAUAGACAGAGGUCCUGAAUGACCCUAGCGCAAGACACUGAAGCAAUUAAGAAGGGAGAACGAUAGCAGAAAAAAAGCUGUGUGUUUGACUAGCCAACCACGGAGGUAAGGUUUUGUUGCAAGGAGGGCAUACUAUACAGAGCUGCUGUAUGUUAUUAUUUGUUACUGUUGAGUCUUUUAAUUAAAAUGACUAGUCGGGACUCACAGAUGCCUUAGUAUUCACUGUUUCUGUCACAAGUCAUGAAGACAUUGCUGUCAUCUACUCAGGCUGCACAGAUCAUGUUGCACAGAAGAGCCAGGCAAGCCGAAGAGAGGUGUCUGUGGGAUAGAGGAAUGCAGGGAGAAACACUCAUCACUUCUGAGGUGCUGUCUGUACUUUUGUUUGAUCCUCUGAUUGUAUGCCUUACGUCCAUUCCAGCACUGGCCUGUAUAGCUACUCACACAACUUCAAGAUAUGCAGUAACAGAACAGCUUUGGCCCUUUCUCGUCCACCUUUUGAGAUGGGCAUGUACUGUACACUGUUUACGACGGAGAGAAAAAUCUGGGAUUUCACUGCUGUCAGCUCUGGCAAACAUGUCUUGAGUUUUCCUAUGUGUACAUGAAGUUCCAGCCCACAGAGGUUUCCAGUCCAACUGGGGCUGAAGGACAGUGCUGUCCAGUUGGAUGGCUGCUCCCAGAACCAGCCCAUCAAGGGUGAGCAGUCAGUCAGUUAUGUCAAAGGAGGAGGACAGCAUGAGAUAUCGCUCCUUCUGUCUGCUCUGUGCCUGGUGAAAGGAGGAGUGAGGAGUUCAGGUUUUGUACAGGGAUAUAGAAGUAGGGGGUCAUGAACUCCCGAUUUCCUACUAACCUCUGCAAACCCUGUGCCAUAGGCACGUUCAUAAAUUUAUUGGGGUCCACUCAUUCAUGUACCUGUUAGUGUUUUUCUCAAAAAUCAAGAAGGGAGGGUGGUUUGGCCUGAAGUGAUAUAUGAAAUAUCAUCAGGAAUUGAGGUGAAGAUGGUAGGAAAAAAGGCAUUAGACUGGGACAAAAUUGAUACGAAUGGUUACGGAAAUAAUUUGUUACAAUUUCUGGAUUAGUGGGUGAGUUGGGAGCACCAGCCAGUUUCAUUGAAAGGAGAAUCUUGCUUUCAAAAUCUUAUGAUUUGGGAGCCAAGCUUGUGAUUUUUGACAUUUGAUUUUUUUUUUCCCCCCAUGCUUCAGGGUGGUAAAAACAUAAAAUCUUCAGUCUGUUUUUACAUGUUCUAAAGUCUUUAGCUUCUUCAAGUGUUCUUCAAGUGACUGAUAGCAGAGGUUGUCCUGAGUCAAGGUGGACACCACAACCCAUAAAUCCUCUGCAGGUGAAGGACAGGACUAGUGAAGACAGUUACUAUUGCCUGCUGUCUUUUGUAGCUAGGCCUAAGUAGGACUGUUUCUUCAUUCUCCAGCUAGCUCCAGAAUGUUCUACUCAAAGAUCGUGAGUAAACCCCAAGCUGUAAGAGGCACUUGAUUUUUAGUAGUACUUUGGAGGCCCUUUGUGUGUGCCCUGUCUUUUGUUUGAGGGAUGCACUCUGCCCACAUUUUCAGAGUUUCCCGUCAGCCACAAGAGCCGUAACGUUCCCUGAAGCUGAGCCUCUUGCUGACUUGUGUGUCUCUCGGGAGGGCAGCGUUGUGUGAAAGCAGAAGCAGAGCUGUAUUCGUGGCACAGCUGUGAGGACAGGUAGAAGCCAGAUGUGCCAGAGGAAAGCUGGAAGACACGCAGGGAGAACAGUGUGAAUGAGGGCAUGGUCAUCUGGAAAGGGGAGCAACAGGGAGUGUGAGGCUAGAAAUAAGAGUGGUGUUAGGGGGAGGGAGAGAGAGAAAUGAUGGCAGAGCAGACUUGAGGGAUUUUGAUCAUAAUAUGGUAGAGCGUAGGAGGGAAGGUGGUGGGUGAAGAAAGCAGGGAUGAGUCAGGACAUGGUAAAGAGUGGGACUCCCGGAGGACAAAACGGUAGUUAUCCGUGAAUGCAGAAAUUAGGAUUGGCAUAGAUCACAGAGCGGGAGAUGGAGAUACUUGUGUAUUUGUGCUGUAAAUUUGAAUUCUUAACUUGGAAGUAUGCUGUGCCAUCCUAGGCCAUUUACCAUCUACACAACAUUGUGACAAAGGCACAGGUAAGUGACUAUUAUUAUUACUUUCUCAGUGUAAUAAGCCUGAAUGAGCCCAAAGUGGUAUUUUUGGACUCUUGAAGCUGCCAGUACUACGUUCUGUCUCUGGAAGAGAUAAGGUGAAAAAAUUUUAGCGUAGUGGGUUUUUCUUCCUAUUGUGACACUGUUGGGAGUGAUCGGUUAAAGCCACUAAAAUAUCCUAUGCCCAGGGAACAAAAGAACCAUUGAUAAUAUAAUGUUUUUGCUGUCUGGUUUCAGAUGCUCAUUUGAGCAAUGAAUGAUUCAUCUAUUUGACUCUUGGAUUCUGAGCUUUUGAAGAAUGUAGAUAUAUUAAAAUGGCAUAAAAAAAAGUCUGAAGUGGACUCUGAGAGUUUAUUCAGAGCUCGUUCACCCUCUCUGCCCCCAUGCAGGGUCAGUCAUGCAUAUGUUGCUCCUUCAUUCAGUGUGUUCUUCAACAUCUCUGGUGGUGAACUCUCUCUUCCAAAGCCUCCUCAAGCAGGCUGUUUCUCUGGUUUAAAAUUUAUGCUUUUGGAAAGCUGUUCUGAUCCGUAACUGUGACCCUUCCUACUGCAUCAGAAGCCUGUACGUUUGGUCCUGUCCACCAUGAGCACCUGGAUCAGAUUGUCCCCUUUCUCUUUGCAACAGAUGUUUACCUGCUUUUAACUUUUUGAAUUCCUUCUCAAUCUCCUUCUUAGGUUAAACAGCAUUGAAAGGCCUACUAAAAUCAAAUGUACAGUAAGUGCUCUGUCCUAUACAAGGGGCCUGUUACUCUGCUAUAGAGGGAAAUGAGAUUGGUUUGGCACCCGUUGUUCUUGAAAAUUUAGUGUUGGUCCUUACCUUCUUCUUAUCUCUGAAGUACUUACAAAUCGGUUGCUUGAUUAUUUUUUUCCAGAAGUUUUCUGGGGAUCUCUCUAUCCCUCUUUCCAGCAAUGAAUUUUGAUUGUUGCUCUCAUUUCAAAUUCAACUGUGGCUUGUGUUUAUAUAUUAUGCAAAAAAUUAAAUUAACCGGAAAUAAACGAGGUAGAUUAGCUGAUUGUUCUAAUAAUGUAGAGUUCUGAAGUCUGUGUCUUUGGUACUUGCAUUCUCAUUGCUUUUUAGGGGUUUUUUAAUUUUGAAGUUCUGCCAUAUGUAUAUCUAUCCAAGUAAGUAGGUUGUGUGUUUUGUAUGUCAAGAUGCCUCAGAUGCUUGGCUGCACUGAGAACAUUAUUUCAGUGUUAGAGCUUUUCGUUCUUUCCUUGGUUUAAAAAAUUGUUUGAUUGAGAUAUUAUGGUUUUUUAUUUACAUGCAGUAUGUCUUUGCAAGCUUCAUUGUUUGGAAAUAUAACAUGAUGUGCUAUAAAUAAAAGUAACUGGGAUGAGUUAACACACACUAAUGAGGAAUUCAGGACUUCUGCUUUUUAGCCAAAGGGAAUGCAAAAGAUAUUGCCCAAGGAUGUGCUACAUGAUUGCAGCUGCACAGAUCAUUCCUUCCAAAACCUUGCAGUCUCAAAAGACCAAGGAAUGGCAAAAAAAAGGGUAUCCAUUUCUGCUUUUUCAUACUCUCCUUUCUAAAAGUACUAGUUUAUGUUUUAUAUUUCUCAUUUCUUGAUUUUUUGCAUUAAUCUCUGCAUAUUAUUUAGUUAAAUAAUGGCUGAUUAGUGUUUUCAAGAUAGAUCAGUGCCCUUGCCUUUAUCGUUUAACAUUAUCUAAAUAGGCAGCUUGGCAAGACUCAACUUUUGACACCUUCUUCUCAGCAAACACUGAAAAUGUUUCUGGUUCUCAGUCUCAGCCUGUGCCUGCUGUAGAUUCAGCCAUCUAUUUGGGAAACUCUUUACUGUAAUUCUCAUCAUAUAGAAAGCAUAUCAAUGAAAAUAAUGUAUACUUUUCCCAUGUGGGAGUAGAAGGAAGAACAUAUAAAAUUAUAUGCUGAA